GAUGAACGCUAGCUACAGGCUUAACACAUGCAAGUCGAGGGGCAGCAUGAACUUAGCUUGCUAAGUUUGAUGGCGACCGGCGCACGGGUGAGUAACGCGUAUCCAACCUGCCCUUGUCCACCGGAUAACCCGUCGAAAGGCGGACUAACACGGUAUGCAGUCCACAGCAGGCAUCUAACGUGGACGAAAUGUAAAGGAGAAGGAUGGGGAUGCGUCUGAUUAGCUUGUUGGCGGGGUAACGGCCCACCAAGGCGACGAUCAGUAGGGGUUCUGAAGGGAAGGUCCCCCACAUUGGAACUGAGACAAGGUCCAAACUCCUACGGGAGGCAGCAGUGAGGAAUAUUGGUCAAUGGACGGAAGUCUGAACCAGCCAAGUAGCGUGCAGGAUGACGGCCCUAUGGGUUGUAAACUGCUUUUAUAUGGGGAUAAAGUGAGCCACGUGUGGCUUAUUGCAGGUACCAUAUGAAUAAGGACCGGCUAAUUCCGUGCCAGCCGCCGCCGUAA
rnacentral:rRNA from 1 species